GAUUCCCUUGCUUCAAGUGCCUUAUUCACGCAAGUCCCACACUUCACCCCAUCCAGAAGGAUUUUGAUCGUCAACUCCUCAUCUCUGUCAUUCCUCAUUACAACAGUCACCUAUGAGAAUAGGAAAGGAGCGUGAACACAAUGGAGCAUGAAGGAGACUGCAGCUUAAGUGGGGCAGAAGCUUGUGUAAGAGAAGAUUAACGCUGGAGAGCUGGCUAGGAAGGGGCUGGAGUAAAUCAUCUCUCUUCCUCAGAAAAUUAAGCGUAUGCAAGGAGUCACAGACAGUGACUAUGGGAAAACCUGUCAGAACAAAGUAGCAGUCUUCCAUUCUCUCCUACCUACAGAUGCAGCCAAAUGCACAAGAAUGGGGUUGGGGGUUGUUCAUAAAUAGUCUGGCUGCUGUUUGUCAGAGGCAACAGUUGAAAUGUCCGUACACAAUUGCUACUUUCGCAUGUGCUAAAAAUGACAAUGGCAUCCAGUCGCAAUGG